GUGGGGAAUUUUGGACAAUGGGCGCAAGCCUGAUCCAGCAAUGCCGCGUGCAGGAAGAAGGCCUUCGGGUUGUAAACUGCUUUUGUACGGAACGAAACGGCUCUGGUUAAUACCCGGGGCUAAUGACGGUACCGUAAGAAUAAGCACCGGCUAACUACGUGCCAGCAGCCGCGGUAAUACGUAGGGUGCAAGCGUUAAUCGGAAUUACUGGGCGUAAAGCGUGCGCAGGCGGUUUUGUAAGACCGGCGGGAAAUCCCCGGGCUCAACCUGGGAAUGGCGCUUGUGACUGCAAAGCUGGAGUGCGGCAGAGGGGGAUGGAAUUCCGCGUGUAGCAGUGAAAUGCGUAGAUAUGCGGAGGAACACCGAUGGCGAAGGCAAUCCCCUGGGCCUGCACUGACGCUCAUGCACGAAAGCGUGGGGAGCAAACAGGAUUAGAAACCCGUGUAGUCC
rnacentral:rRNA from 1 species